rnacentral:lncRNA from 1 species
AAAUGAAGAUUAAACAUAAAUUACAGCUGUAAAACAAGGUAAUCAGAAAUGUGAACAUGACAGUAUUAGGACAGCCGUGUGCCUUAAUCUGAUGCCUACAGGUAUGCAUACCUAUUGGUAUACAUACUGUGAGAACUACUACAUGAUCACAUACUGUGUUUUUCCAUCGAGUCCCUAUUCUGUUUAUUGAAUGGCAUGGACAGAGAUUGCUGAAUGAGACAGGUGAUCAAUUUUCAUUUAUUUAUGUAUUUUUAACCUUGUUUUCUUAAGAAAUGAUCUUCCUGUUAUUGUCUGCUGCCCACUUUUCUCUCUAAUGCCUUUAAGUCUAGUGGACUCACCAUGCUCCUCACAAUGCUGUCCCAGCAGCAGGCAGACACCAGACAAGGAAUUUUUAUAGCAUCAUGGACUUUCUUCUGGCAAAUGAGCACCUCACAAGUACUAAAAAGCUGUUCUGGUUUUGGUCCUUUGGAAUACAGAGAAAACCAGCUUGAACCCCAAAAUGGCUGUUUUGCACCUGUCUUCUGCCUCAUCCUGCUGUCUCCCAGGUUGUUUUCUUACCUUGGUGAUGAUGAUGGCUUAAGAGAAAUGGCUGCAUCAAAAGAAGCGUGACCAGCAGGUCGAGGGAGGUGAUUCUCUCCCUCUACUCUGCUGCUGUGAAAGUCCGGUUGGAGUACUGUGUUCAGCUCUGGGGUAAUGGUGUUAAACCAAAAUAGGGUAGAUUUAGAUUAGAUAUAAGGAAGAAAUUCUUUACUCAGAGGGUCAUGAGGCACUGGCGCAUGUUGCCAGAGAAGCUGUGGAUGCCCCAUCCCUGGAAGUAUUUAAGGCAAGGUUGGAUGGGGCUUUGAGCAACCUGGUCUGGUGGGAGGUGUCCCUGCCCAUGGCAGGGGGUUGGAAUCAGAUGAUCUUUAAAGGUCCCUUCCAACCCAAACCAUUCUGUGAUCUUAUGAUUCUAUGAAAUAUCUUUCAUGAGAUUAUCAGACUAGUUUUACAGGUGGAGAGAUUUUUGAAAUAAAAGGGAAUUCUUAAACUUACUAUUUAUUCUG